rnacentral:rRNA from 1 species
AUUGAACGCUGGCGGCAGGCUUGACACAUGCAAGUCGAGCGGGGUGAUGGUGCUUGCACUAUCACUUAGCGGCGGACGGGUGAGUAAUGCUUAGGAAUCUGCCUAUUAGUGGGGGACAACAUCUCGAAAGGGAUGCUAAUACCGCAUACGUCCUACGGGAGAAAGCAGGGGAUCACUUGUGACCUUGCGCUAAUAGAUGUGCCUAAGUCGGAUUAGCUCGUUGGUGGGGUAAAGGCCUACCAAGGCGACGAUCUGUAGCGGGUCUGAGAGGAUGAUCCGCCACACUGGGACUGAGACACGGCCCAGACUCCUACGGGAGGCAGCAGUGGGGAAUAUUGGACAAGGGGGGGAACCCUGAUCCAGCCAUGCCGCGUGUGUGAAGAAGGCCUUAUGGUUGUAAAGCACUUUAAGCGAGGAGGAGGCUCUUUUGGUUAAUACCCAAGAUGAGUGGACGUUACUCGCAGAAUAAGCACCGGCUAACUCUGUGCCAGCAGCCGCAGUAA